rnacentral:snRNA from 1 species
UCGUUCCUCAGCCUUCCUGCUAAGAUCAAGUGUGGUAU